GAGGGAUCAUUAAAGAGUUCUAUAACUCCCAAACCCAUGUGAACAUACCUAACGUUGCCUCGGCAGGUCGCACCUACCUUGUAGCACCCUACCCUGUAGGGCCUACCCGGGAGGUGCGGGUAAGCCUGCCGGCGGCCCACCAAACUCUGUUUGAUAUUGAAUUCUGAACCUAUAACUAAAUAAGUUAAAACUUUCAACAACGGAUCUCUUGGUUCUGGCAUCGAUGAAGAACGCAGCGAAAUGCGAUAAGUAAUGUGAAUUGCAGAAUUCAGUGAAUCAUCGAAUCUUUGAACGCAUAUUGCGCCCAUUAGUAUUCUAGUGGGCAGGACCGUUCGAGCGUCAUUUCAACCCUUAAGCCUUCGUUGCUUAGUGUUGGGAGCCUACGGCAACGUAGCUCCUCAAAGUUAGUGGCGGAGUUGGUUCACACUCUAGACGUAGUAAUUUUUUAUCUCGCCUAUUAGUUGGACUAAUCCCCUGCCGUAAAACCCCCAAUUUAUCAAGGUUGACCUCGAAUCGGUUCAGACAAACUCGCUAAAUUGAAGCAUCUUAGUCAGCGAAGGAAAAGAAACCAACAGGGAUUGCCCUAGUAACGGCGAGUGAAGCGGCAACAGCUCAAAUU
rnacentral:rRNA from 1 species